rnacentral:lncRNA from 1 species
GGUUUUUCUUUUAGCAUCGAAUAUAAAGUUUGCGCUUCAUGUGUGCCUAAAUGAAAUGUAUCCAAGUUUAGAAAAAAAAAAAUAGAACUUAAGUGUUUGAUGGGCGUUGUGUAGUGUCUGUGUCAAACUUGGUGCUCUCUUCCAACUGGCCCAAUAACCUAAAUGGUGCCACACCACAUGGACAAAAUGCUUGAGUCCAAAUUACAUGGCAGUAGGUAGGUGGUUGAUUAUAUACCGCACAAACUUCGUAGAUGUGAGCAUGUGGGAAAUCACAAUUUGUUUGCUUUAACUGCUGAUGGUUUUGCAAAAAGCCGACAUUCAUCUGCGAGAAAAAGUUGUGAGAACUUGAGGUCCUGAUGACACCAUGAAAGUCCUGAGGGCUAUUUGCUGAGCAACAUUUUCUGAAAGAGCAAUGAAACCUUCAGCGCAAAUAAGGAACAGAUACAGGUACAUGGUAAACCCCUUCGAGGUCUAAAAGUCUGAAAAUAAGCCCCAUUAUUCAGCACAGCAUAAGACACCACUGUCAUGCCACUUCAUCAAUAGUUCAAUAAUCCAUCUAGAUCCAAACCCCCAAAUGACCCAUCAUUAGUAAAAGAAAAACCCUCACCAUCCUGUUUGUAAGCAUGAAUCAUAUCCAGCUUCAAAUCCAAGAACCCCUCUUCUUUCCCUUGUCUCUAGUUUUUCGGUCAGGUAAUGGAAAAUCUCAAAAGCAAUUAAAAGAUCAUCAUUAAUCGGGCUACUUGGAACAAAGGCACUCUGCGUAUCUGAAUUAACAACUGGCAGCCCCAUUUAAGUUUUUUAGGCAACAACUUUGAUAUAAUCUAGCGAAUUAUAUUGCAGAAACUGAUAGGUUGGAACUCCAUCAUCAUCUUUGGCUUUUUCAUCUUGCAGAUGCAGAGAAAGUAUUAUUGAUCACGUCAAUGCUCUGGUUCCAUUAACGAUAUCAGGAAUUGCCUUAGUCAUCGCCAAAACUUUUGGAACAAAAGACCAGGUUUGUAUGGCAAGAAAAACAUCAUGAUCAGAUAAUAACAUCCAACGAUCAUAAUAUAACAACUAAAACAUAUCGAAUAAGAGGUAAUAGGAUUCUAAUACCUGCCUGUAAAAGAACAAAUAAGCUACUCUAUGAACCUAAGCUCUAAUAAGUGAAAGGCAUCACACUCCAAUAGUGAAACACAUUGCCUUUGAAUAUGGGCAAUCAGUGCCUCCUGAAUACACCCAACAUGAAAGGAAACGGGAGCUGACAUGAAGGUGAUUGAGUUAUGAGGUUCAGAACAAAACCACCAACAGUACUCUAAAGUCACACUAACAAAACACCAACUAGUUUGGCACUCAAUCUAUGAUAAUUAUUGAUAAGGAACUCCAUGACAGUAACCAAAGCUUAUAACUAUUUCGUAUCAGAAACAGUUAAAAUUAAUUCUAUUAACAUCCCACUAACUGAAACUAAUUAGUAGCACUUGAUAGGUUAUCUAAGUGAAAUAUUGCAUUAACAAAAAUGUCGUAGAAUGAAACGCAUGAGAAACAUGUACGGCCCCCUCAGGUAUCAAUUAAAAAUAUGCGCAAAAAAACCACAGAAGCUAGCCAUUAAUACAAAUAAAAAGAAGAAAUCAAUUACCAGAUAUAACAGCCUCUUGAGAAGGAAAAUACAGAAAAAUCCUUGACACAGAAUAAUGGGAAGCAAAUAUAAGAGAGAUUAACCGGGCACUUCCCUAACAGAAUUGCUUGCCUUCCCAGAGAUCCAAGACAUGUUAAAUAAAAUGCAUUCAGUGUGCUGGACAAAGUUCCCCGGGGCAUAGAAGAAGGAAGACAUUGAUCACCUGCAAUCAAUUUUUCAAACUAAAUCCUCUACUUUGUGUAGUAGUGUUGGCAAGAAAAACAUCAUGAUCAAAUAUGAAUAACAAAAUAUCAUAAUAUAACAACUAAAACAAGGUAUAAGAGAGAGGAUUCCAAAACCUAGCUGUAAAAGCAUACAAAAGUAGCUUUAAAAGUGACCUAAACCCAUUCGACAGUGGACAAUCAUAGCAUGCUAAAUUUACACAAAAAGGAAAAGAAAAUCUUAUGUGAAGGUGGUUAGAUAUUAGACUUAGAACAAAUCAGCUAAAGUAACAAAAUAAAAAGAUUAGAUGGCCUCUCCGCACUUAUUGUAAUUGAUAAGAAAGCCUUGGAAGUAACCAAAGCUUGUCACUAUUUAGCAUCAGCAACAGUUUAAAUGAGUAAAAACCUAAACAUACCACUGUCUAAUCAAGUGGCAUCCAUGAUAGAAUUUUGAAGAUAUAUUUCAUGAACAAAAGUGUGUCGCACUCAUAGAAUCCCCAGGUGUCCACCAAAAAUAUUUGAGAACAAACGCUGGUUGCUUGUCAUCAAUGUAAAUAAAAAGGAAAAACCAAUUAGCCAGAAUGAUAUAAAGCCUCUUCUUUCUGUAAAAAAUAAAAAGAAAACUACAUGGUAACUACAAGAGAACAUAAUCAGACAUUUCCCCCAAGGAGUUGUUUGCCUACCACAC